UACAAGCAAUGGGAGCGCAAGUGACCAUGUACUUUUUGUAGAACGGGCCAACGAGUUAUGGUAUGUAGCGAGGUUAAGAAGCUGGAGCUUCGGAGCCGAAGGGAAACCGAGUCUUAAUAGGGCGACUAGUUGCAUGCUGUAGACCCGAAACCGGGUGACCUAUCCAUGUGCAGGUUGAAGUAACCGUAAAAGGUUAUGGAGGACCGAACUUAUAUCCGUUGAAAAGGGUUAGGAUGACGUGUGGAUAGCGGUGAAAUUCCAAUCGAACUCGGAGAUAGCUGGUUCUCCUCGAAAUAGCUUUAGGGCUAGCCUCGAGAUUAAGAUACACGGAGGUAGAGCACUGAAUGUUCUAGGGGCCUUCACCGGUUACCGAAAACUAUCAAACUCCGAAUGCCGUGCAAUCAUACUCGGGAGUCAGACUAUGUGAGAUAAGUUUCAUGGUCGAAAGGGAAACAGCCCAGACCUACAGCUAAGGUCCCAAAAUGUAAGUUAAGUGGAAAAGGAUGUGGAGUUGCAUAGACAACUAGGAUGUUGGCUCAGAAGCAGCCACUCAUUCAAAGAGUGCGUAAUAGCUCACUAGUCGAGUGACUCUGCGCCGAAGAUAAACGGGGCUCAAACUUACUACCGAAGCUUAGGAUACCUUUUGGUAUGGUAGAGGAGCAUCGUAUGCGGGCAGAAGGUGUGUCGUAAGGCAUGCUGGACUGCAUACGAGAGAGAAUGUUGGCAUGAGUAGCGUAAGGCAGGUGAGAAUCCUGUCCGCCGAAAAUCUAAGGUUUCCUGAGGAAGGUUCGUCCUCUCAGGGUUAGUCGGGACCUAAGCCGAGAGCGAAAGCUGUAGGCGAUGGACAAUGGGUUGAGAUUCCCAUACCACCGAAAGUCGUUUGAUCGAUGUGGGGACACAGAAGGAUAGUCAGAGCAUACCGUUGGUUGAGUAUGUCUAAGUAGUGAGGCUGUUAUGUAGGCAAAUCCGCAUAACUUAAGGCUGGGCUACGAUGGGGAGGGAAAUUAUAGUACCGAAGCUGAUGAUUUCACACUGUCAAGAAAAGCCGCUAGAGAGACCGUAGGUGCCCGUACCGCAAACCGACACAGGUAGAUGAGGAGAGAAUCCUAAGGUGAGCGAGAGAACUAUUGUUAAGGAACUCGGCAAAAUUACCCCGUAACUUCGGGAGAAGGGGUGCCUGCGAAAGCAGGCCGCAGUGAAAAGGCCCAGGCGACUGUUUACCAAAAACACAGGUCUCUGCUAAAGCGAAAGCUGAUGUAUAGGGGCUGACGCCUGCCCGGUGCUGGAAGGUUAAGGGGAAGUGUUAGAGCAAGCGAAGCACUGAACUUAAGCCCCAGUAAACGGCGGCCGUAACNNCGGCGGCCGUAACUAUAACGGUCCUAAGGUAGCGAAAUUCCUUGUCAGGUAAGUUCUGACCCGCACGAAAGGCGUAACGAUCUGGGCGCUGUCUCAACAAUAGGCUCGGUGAAAUUGUAUUACCGGUGAAGAUGCCGGUUACCCGCAGCAGGACGGAAAGACCCCAUGGAGCUUUACUGUAGCUUGAUAUUGAAUUUCGGUGUUGCAUGUACAGGAUAGGUGGGAGACUGAGAACUCAGGACGCCAGUUUUGAGGGAGUCGCCGUUGGGAUACCACUCUUGUAACGUUGAGGUUCUAACCUUGUACCGUGAUCCGGUAUGGGAACAGUGUCAGGUGGGCAGUUUGACUGGGGCGGUCGCCUCCUAAAGAGUAACGGAGGCGCCCAAAGGUUCCCUCAG
rnacentral:rRNA from 1 species